UACGAAGGGGGCUAGCGUUGCUCGGAAUCACUGGGCGUAAAGGGUGCGUAGGCGGGUCUUUAAGUCAGGGGGGAAAUCCUGGGGCUCAACUCCAGAACUGCCUUCGAUACUGGCGAUCUAGAGUCCGGGAGAGGUGAGUGGAACUGCGAGUGUAGAGGUGAAAUUCGUAGAUAUUCACAAGAACACCAGUGGCGAAGGCGGCUCACUGGCCCGGUACUGACGCUGAGGUGCGAAAGCGUGGGGAGCAAACAGG
rnacentral:rRNA from 1 species